rnacentral:rRNA from 1 species
GACGAACGCUGGCGGCGUGCUUAACACAUGCAAGUCGAACGGAAAGGCCCUGCUUGCAGGGUACUCGAGUGGCGAACGGGUGAGUAACACGUGGGUGAUCUGCCCUGCACUUCGGGAUAAGCUUGGGAAACUGGGUCUAAUACCGGAUAGGAGCCAUCUUUAGUGUGGUGGUUGGAAAGUUUUUUCGGUGUAGGAUGAGCUCGCGGCCUAUCAGCUUGUUGGUGGGGUAAUGGCCUACCAAGGCGGCGACGGGUAGCCGGCCUGAGAGGGUGUACGGCCACAUUGGGACUGAGAUACGGCCCAGACUCCUACGGGAGGCAGCAGUGGGGAAUAUUGCACAAUGGGCGCAAGCCUGAUGCAGCGACGCCGCGUGGGGGAUGAAGGCCUUCGGGUUGUAAACUCCUUUCGCUAGGGACGAAGCUUUGUUGUGACGGUACCUAGAUAAGAAGCACCGGCUAACUACGUG